rnacentral:lncRNA from 1 species
CAUGAGACCACUGUCAACUAGGCAGUCUGCUGUUGACCAACAUGUCCUUCUGAGGACAUGUACUAUUAUUGUCUCACUUUGGAUUGCUGGUAAAUGAGACAGAGAAAGAUGAGUCAACCUGAAAAGAUCACGAAGUAGUAAAAGAUGGAACUGAUGUUGAGCCCACCCCAUCUCUCCACAUGAUCAUCACAAACACAAUAACCCGUAACCAAAAGAUUGAGACAGAGGACUGCAAGGUGAUGGUUUGCAAAAACUUGAAUUCCAGAUGUCUCUUUCCUUCCUUUUCUCCCUCCUUCCUUCUUUAACUGUAAACUAACUGCAUUCAGAAUAUACAACUGACAUUUUAACUCAUCCUCUAAUUUUUUUUUCUUCUAUGUAAAGUAAAAAUCAAAUUCCUUUUAGGAAAAAAUGAUAAUCAAAAACUGUACAUUAAAAUAAAUAUUUCCACUAAAAUAAAUGGCUAUCACUGAAUGCA